rnacentral:lncRNA from 1 species
CAAGUUUUAAUUUUCUAUUCAAAAAAAUAAUAAAGAAAAAUUAUAAAAAGUGGAGAAAAGUAAAGGAGAAGAUGUCUCAGAAAGAGAGAGAGAGAGUCAAAGUCAAAUGGUCAAGAGAGGAUGGCAAAUUCCAAUUAUUUUAUUAUUUUUAUUUUUAUUUUUUAUAUUAUUUUUAUUUGUUCUCAUAAAAUUAUGUAUAGUAUAUGUUGCGUUACUUAAUAAAAACAAAAAAAAAAACUUGACGAGCGAUUAUAAUCU